rnacentral:rRNA from 1 species
CAGCCGCCGCGGUAAUACGUAGGGGGCAAGCGUUAUCCGGAAUUACUGGGUGUAAAGGGAGCGUAGACGGUUAAACAAGUCUGAAGUGAAAUGCCGGGGCUCAACCCCGGAGCUGCUUUGGGAACUGUAGAACUGGAGUGUCGGGGGGGUAAGCGGAAUUCCCAGUGUAGCGGUGAAAUGCGUAGAUAUUGGGAGGAACACCGGCGGCGAAGGCGGCUUACUGGACGACAACUGACGUUGAGGCUCGAAGGCGUGGGUAGCAAACUGGAUUAGAUACCCCGGUAGUCCCUGUCUCUUAUAC